UUAAGUUCAGCGGGUAGUCCUACCUGAUUUGAGGUCAGAGGUCAUAAAUUUGUCUCUAAAGCGAGACGGUUAGAAGCCUGCCAAACGCUUCACGGUCGCGGAGUAGACAUUAUCACACCGACAGCCGAUCCGCAAGGAACCAAGCUAAUACAUUUAAGAGGAGCCGACCGACAAAGGCCGACAAGCCUCCAAGUCCAAGC
rnacentral:misc_RNA from 1 species